AGGGAAUGAGCAAAAAACGGGAGUUGAUUAUUAACCCCUUGAGAGGGAUUCUUCAAUUCCAAAGCCCAGCCUUUUUUCCUGAACGCGUUUUAUGCAGGCGCCACACACAACUUAGUGCUGGCGCGCCCCCUGGUGUCCUUUGCUAUCAGCGCAGCCGUAGCAAAUCGUGGGGGCGUGGCCGGAAGUGAGUUUAUUCACUUCGCCCGCCUCUUCCGGCUUCCGCCCACACCACCCAGGCUAGUUCGCCGGAAACGCUGCGCUCUCUGGGUUCAGCAUCUCUGGAUCGAAUCCGGACACUGUCAAGAUGCUGGAUCCUACUUCUCUUCCAGAAAAUCUCUUCAUGUUUAACCACAGGAAACAACAAAAUGGCACCUGAAUGUGAACCUGGGAACAAGAAGAUAACUAGAGAACAGUACUGCCUUGAUGGAGCUCCUUGGAAAACAGAAGAAAAAAAAAGAUGCUAUCUGGCAAGCCAAAGAAUGCUAGUAUACGACCUUCAGCUGCUUGCCUCAGACAGACCCUGAGAGUUUACCUCAGGGACAGUUUACCUCGGGGCUGCCAGAACAACCUAGCCCAAGAAGAAGGACACCACUGCUCCUCCGCCUUGCACUUGGCUGCUUGUUCUCACUGACCUUGAUGUAACUGCCUACGUGACUUCUGUAGUUUGCCCUGU